CACGAAGAAACGGGGGAAAAAAAGGAAGACUUGCAUUUGUAUAGCGCCUUUCGCAGGCUGCCCCCAAAGCACGUUACAUCUAGUCACGGACUUUUGAAGUAAAGAUCUUCACUCACUCCAAGUGCGGCAAACAAGUUAAAAGAGGAAACAGGACUCUCUCUCACCAUGAGUGCUAAAUUUCAAUCAUGCUCAAAAGAUAUUAGAACAAUCGAAUCACAACAAAUCUAAGGAUCACAAAGUCACCAGUAUCAGCAAUACAGUUUACAUUACAGAAGAAGAGGAAGUUCGGGAAGUCUUCGAGAAUAUAAAGAUGGAUAUAUCUCUGGGAUCUGAUCUAAUGUAUCCCAGUGGGAAGUAAGGGAGG